GACGAACGCUGGCGGCGUGCUUAACACAUGCAAGUCGAGCGGUAAGGCCCUUUCGGGGGUACACGAGCGGCGAACGGGUGAGUAACACGUGGGUGACCUGCCCUCAGCUCUGGGAUAAGCCUGGGAAACCGGGUCUAAUACUGGAUAUGACUCCACGACGCAUGUUGUGGGGUGGAAAGCCUUGUGCGGCUGGAGAUGGGCCCGCGGCCUAUCAGCUUGUUGGUGGGGUGAUGGCCUACCAAGGCGACGACGGGUAGCCGGCCUGAGAGGGCGACCGGCCACACUGGGACUGAGACACGGCCCAGACUCCUACGGGAGGCAGCAGUGGGGAAUCUUGCGCAAUGGGCGAAAGCCUGACGCAGCGACGCCGCGUGAGGGAUGACGGCCUGGUGUAA
rnacentral:rRNA from 1 species